UUGGAGGGCAAGUCUGGUGCCAGCAGCCGCGGUAAUUCCAGCUCCAAUAGCGUAUAUUAAAGUUGUUGCAGUUAAAAAGCUCGUAGUUGAAUUUCGGGAUCAGUAUGUCGGUCGUGCUUCGGUACGUACUGUCAUUACUGGUUUCUCCCUUCUGAAGAACCAUGAUGUCAUUAAUUUGGUGUCUUGGGAAAUCAGGACUGUUACUUUAGAAAAAAUUAGAGUGUUUAAAGCAGGCAUACGCUUGAAUACAUUAGCAUGGAAUAAUGAAAUAGGACGUUUGAUUCUAUUUUGUUGGUUUCUAGGAUCGACGUAAUGAAUUAA
rnacentral:rRNA from 1 species